AUGAGAGGGAGAGAGAGAAGGAAGAACAUGAGAGGAGGGAGAAAGAGAGAGGAAAGAGGAGAGGGGGUCGACGGCCGACAGGAGAGGACCACCGGAAGGAGUGCCGCCGGCUCGUCGUCUUCCACCGCCGGCGUCGGCCUGCACCGGCAAGGUCGGGCGGGACCUUGCUUCCAGGGCGGCUUGACCACAGUCUACAGUACUGCCAGGGGUGGCUGUUUGUUUACUGAAGGGGGUGUUGAUCUGCUGCCCCUUGUUCUACACUCUGUCCAAGAUAGGGAGGCAGAAGAGAGGACAUGUUGA
rnacentral:rRNA from 1 species